CACUGUCAAAGUCAAUUGACGCCAGAAGAGGCGCUGCACGUCGUCGUCCAUUUCCUAUUUCUUUUACUUUGUGAAUGGUGUCAGAGUAAGCUCUGAUCGGACCAUCACACCACCGCCAGCAAAAUGCCGCAGAACGAGUACAUUGAGCGCCACAUCAAGCUGCACGGCCGGCGGCUCGAUUAUGAGGAGCGCAAGCGGAAGCGUGAGGCCCGCGAGCCCAAGAAGCGCGCCGCCAUGGCCCGCAAGCUGCGCGGCAUCAAGGCCAAACUGUUCCAGAAGGAACGACGCAACGAGAAGAUCCAGAUGAAGAAGAAGAUUCAAGCGCACGAGGAGAAGAAGGUCAAGAAGACCACCGAGAAGGUCGAAGAUGGAGCGAUCCCGGCGUAUCUGCUGGAUCGUGGCGUGCAGUCCAGUGCCAAGGUGCUGUCUAACAUGAUCAAGCAGAAGCGAAAGGAGAAGGCCGGCAAAUGGGACGUACCGAUUCCGAAGGUUCGCGCCCAGGCAGAUUCUGAGGUGUUCAAAGUUAUCCGCAGUGGUAAAACCAAGCGGAAAGCGUGGAAGCGAAUGGUCACUAAGGUCACCUACGUCGGCGAGAACUUCACCCGAAAACCUCCGAAGUUUGAACGGUUUAUCAGGCCGAUGGCCCUGCGCUUCAACAAGGCACACGUUACACAUCCGGAACUGAAGGCCACGUUCCACCUGCCGAUCAUCGGCGUCAAGAAGAACCCCUCCUCGCCCAUGUACACCAGCCUGGGCGUCAUCACCAAGGGUACUGUGAUCGAAGUGAACAUCUCCGAGCUGGGUUUGGUGACCCAGUCCGGUAAGGUCGUCUGGGGCAAGUACGCCCAGGUGACGAACAACCCGGAAAACGACGGAUGUAUUAACGCUGUGCUGUUAGUUUAGUGUGUGUGGGGGGAGAAGUCGCCCCUCUCUGACCUGAUAUAUUUUCGUUCUCAUCUUAAGUUAGCGUGUAAGGUUGCGUCGUAUAGUUUUGUAUGGAAGUGUAAAAAUAUAUAUAAUUGCCAAGGACUGCAUUACUUUGUAACAAGAUAUGGUCUUUUUAUUGGGCGGGGUACGAGAUUGUUCAGAUGGACUGCAGCAGUGUGUAAUUCGGCAUCAAGGAUGCAGAUCUUCGUUAAGACCCUGACGGGCAAGACCAUCACCCUUGAGGUCGAACCGUCCGAUACGAUCGAGAAUGUCAAGGCCAAAAUCCAGGACAAGGAGGGAAUCCCGCCAGAUCAGCAGCGUUUGAUCUUCGCCGGCAAGCAGCUGGAAGAUGGCCGCACCCUGUCCGACUACAACAUCCAGAAGGAGUCCACCCUCCACUUGGUGCUGCGCCUGCGCGGUGGUGCCAAGAAGCGCAAGAAGAAGAAUUACUCCACCCCCAAGAAGAUCAAGCACAAGAGGAAGAAGGUCAAACUCGCCGUCCUCAAGUACUACAAGGUCGACGAAAACGGCAAGAUCCACCGUCUGCGUCGUGAGUGCACCAGCGAGACCUGCGGUGCCGGAGUCUUCAUGGCUGCCCACGAAGAUCGUCACUACUGCGGCAAGUGCCACCUGACCCUGGUCUAUUCCAAGCAGGAGGAAAAGUAAAAGAUGGCUAGCCUGCGCCUCUCUCCGGGUGCUUUUUGCGUUUACUAAGUAGAAAUGCCCGAAGGGAUCUUCUUCUCUAAUGUUUAAGGAUUACGAAAAUAUAAAUGGGGUUAAAUCCACCUAAUAAAAGCUUGAUACGGUUUCACAUUCCGUAUUGACACCUAA